UGAGGAAUUUUCCGCAAUGGGCGAAAGCCUGACGGAGCAAUGCCGCGUGGAGGAUGACAGCCUGUGGGUCGUAAACUCCUUUUCUCAGAAAAGAAGAUCUGACGGUAUCUGAGGAAUAAGCAUCGGCUAACUCCGUGCCAGCAGCCGCGGUAAUACGGAGGAUGCAAGCGUUAUCCGGAAUGAUUGGGCGUAAAGCGUCUGUAGGUGGUUUAUUAAGUCUACUGUUAAAGAUCAGGGCUUAACCCUGAGCCGGCAGUGGAAACUAAUAAGCUUGAGUACGGUAGGGGCAGAGGGAAUUCCCGGUGUAGCGGUGAAAUGCGUAGAGAUCGGGAAGAACACCAAUGGCGAAAGCACUCUGCUGGGCCGAAACUGACACUGAGAGACGAAAGCUAGGGGAGCGAAUG
rnacentral:rRNA from 1 species